rnacentral:rRNA from 1 species
AUACUUAGGGUGCAAGCGUUAAUCGGAAUUACAGGGCGUAAAGCGCUCGUAGGCGGCUUGUUAAGUCGGAUGUGAAAUCCCCGGGCUCAACCUGGGAACUGCAUUCGAUACUGGCAGGCUAGAGUAUAGUAGAGGCAAGUGGAAUUCCGGGUGUAGCGGUGAAAUGCGUAGAUAUCCGGAGGAACAUCAGUGGCGAAGGCGACUUGCUGGACUAAUACUGACGCUGAGGAGCGAAAGCGUGGGGAGCAAACGGGAUUAGAUACCCCAGUAGUCC